rnacentral:rRNA from 1 species
AUUGAACGCUGGCGGCAGGCUUAACACAUGCAAGUCGAGCGCGCGGCGGACGGGUGAGUUAUGUCUGGGAAUCUCCCUGAUGGAGGGGUAUAACUUCUGUAAACGGUCGCUUAUCCCGCAUACCCUCAUAUAUUCCCAGAUGGUAUUCGCUAGUAGGUGGGGUAAUGGCUCACCUAGGCGACGCUCCCUAGCUGGUCUGAGAGGAUGACCAGCCACACUGGAACGGAGACACGGUCCAGACUCCUACGGGAGGCAGCAGUGGGGAAUAUUGCACAAUGGGCGCAAGCCUGAUGCAGCCAUGCCGCGUGUGUGAAGAAGGCCUUCGGGUUGUAAAGCACUUUCAGCGAGGAGGCGUUACUCGCAGAAGAAGCACCGGCUAACUCCGUGCCAGCAGCCGCGGUAAUAC